rnacentral:lncRNA from 1 species
UGGAUUUGUAGGUAAUCAGAAAGACCAGCUCUACCACCUCUAAAAUUGUCUUAAUUAACCAUGGCUUUGGAAAAUAAGUGGUGGAUUUCAAGUUAAUCCAAGGAACCAAGAACCCUGCUGAAGGCUUGAAAAAAUGAUGUUGUGGUUUCCUAAAAGAAAAAGAGAAGUCUUAUUCUCUGUGCAUGAAUCUUUCUCAACCACCCCUGGCAAGGAGUUAAAAGACCCUGCUGAAAAUGCCAACUCCAGGGAGAGCUCCGUGUUUUCUGUUCCAGCUAAAAGUGAUGUUGGCAAAGAC